GACGAACGCUGGCGGCGUGCUUAACACAUGCAAGUCGAACGGUGAAGCGCCUUCCUUUUUGGUGGGUGUGGAUGAGUGGCGAACGGGUGAGUAACACGUGAGUAACCUGCCCCCUUCUUCUGGAUAACCGCAUGAAAGUGUGGCUAAUACGGGAUAUUCUGGUUCUGUCGCAUGAUGGGUCUGGGACAGAUAUUGUUUCGGUGGGGGAUGGGCUCGCGGCCUAUCAGCUUGUUGGGGGGGUGAUGGCCUACCAAGGCGGGGAGGGGUAGCCGGCCUGGGAGGGUGGACGGUCACACUGGGAGUGAGACACGGCCCAGACUCCUACGGGAGGCAGCAGUGGGGAAUAUUGCACAAUGGGCGAAAGCCUGAUGCAGCGACGCCGCGUGAGGGAUGGAGGCCUUCGGGUUGUGAACCUCUUUCGCCAGUGAAGCAGGCCUGCCUCGUUUGUGGGUGGGUUGACGGUAGCUGGAUAAGAAGCGCCGGCUAACUACGUG
rnacentral:rRNA from 1 species